rnacentral:rRNA from 1 species
UACAGAGGGGGCAAGCGUUGUUCGGAAUUACUGGGCGUAAAGGGCGCGUAGGCGGCCUGCUAAGUCGAACGUGAAAUCCCUGGGCUCAACCCAGGAACUGCGUCCGAUACUGGUUGGCUUGAAUCCGGGAGAGGGACGUGGAAUUCCAGGUGUAGCGGUGAAAUUCGUAGAUAUUCGGAAGAACACCAGUGGCGAAGGCGGCUGACUGGACAUGUAUUGACGCUGAGGUGCGAAAGCGUGGGGAGCAAACAGG